rnacentral:rRNA from 1 species
GACCGGGAAGAGCUCAAAUUUGAAAUCUGGCGUCCUCAGGGCGUCCGAGUUGUAAUCUAUAGAGGCGUUUUCCGUGCCGGACCGUGUCCAAGUUCCUUGGAACAGGAUAUCAAAGAGGGUGACAAUCCCGUACUUGACACGACGACCGGUGCUCUGUGAUACGUCUUCUACGAGUCGAGUUGUUUGGGAAUGCAGCUCAAAAUGGGUGGUGAGUUCCAUCUAAAGCUAAAUAUUGGCGAGAGACCGAUAGCGAACAAGUACCGUGAGGGAAAGAUGAAAAGCACUUUGGAAAGAGAGUUAAACAGUACGUGAAAUUGUUGAAAGGGAAACGAUUGAAGUCAGUCGUGACCGAGAGGCUCAGCCGGUUCUGCCGGUGUAUUCCCCUCGGUCGGGUCAACAUCAGUUUUGUCCGGUGGAUAAGGGCGGUAGGAAGGUGGCACCCUCGGGUGUGUUAUAGCCUGCCGUCGCAUACAUCGGGUGAGACUGAGGAACGCAGCUCGCCUUUAUGGCCGGGGUUCGCCCACGUCCGAGCUUAGGAUGUUGACAUAAUGGCUUUAAACGACCCGUC